rnacentral:rRNA from 1 species
GGGGCUGGGGGAAGUGGCGAAAGGGGCAGUAAGGCAUGGCUAACCUACCCCGGGGACGGGCAUAGCCUCCCUAACGGGAGGGUAAUUCCCGGCGAUUUGCCGAGGGGGCAUCUCCUUGGCAGGAAACGAAUUUCGCCUCGGGAGGGGGUCAUGUGCUAUUAGCUGGUUGGCGGGGUAACGGCCCACCAAGGCGAAGAUGGCUAGCGGGUGUGAGAGCACGACCCGCGCCACUGGCACUGAGACACUGGCCAGACUCCUACGGGAGGCUGCAGUCGAGGAUCUUCGGCAAUGGGCGCAAGCCUGACCGAGCGACGCCGCGUGCGCGAUGAAGGCCUUCGGGUUGUAAAGCGCUGUCGAGGGGGAGGAAAGCCGCAAGGCCUGACCGACCCCUGGAGGAAGCACGGGCUAAGUUCGUGCCAGCAGCCGCGGUAAGACGAACCGUGCGAACGUUGUUCGGAAUCACUGGGCUUAAAGGGCGCGUAGGCGGCUUCUCAAGUCGGGGGUGAAAUCUUUCGGCUCAACCGGAAAAGUGCCUCCGAUACUGGGAAGCUCGAGGGAGGUAGGGGCAGACGGAACUUCCGGUGGAGCGGUGAAAUGCGUUGAUAUCGGAAGGAACGCCGGUGGCGAAAGCGGUCUGCUGGCCCUCUUCUGACGCUGAGGCGCGAAAGCCAGGGGAGCAAACGGGAUUAGAUACCCCGGUAGUCCUGGCCCUAA